GUGCUUGCUUUGGCAGCAUAUACACUAAAAUUGGAACAAUACAAGGAAGAUUAGCAUGGCCCCUGCACAAGGAUUACAUGCAAAUUCAUGAAGUAUUCCAUAUUUUU
ensembl:snRNA U6 U6 spliceosomal RNA